UGCUCAGGCUGGAGUGCAGUGGUGUGAUCUCAGCCCACUGCAAUCUCCACCUCCUGGAUUCAAGAGAUUCUCAUGCCUCAGCCUUCUGAGGAGCUGAGAUUACAGUGUCUGUCCUGCACCCAACAAACCAUCCAACCAACCAGUCAACCAGCCAACAAACAGCCAACUAACCAAUCAUGCAUCAAUCAUGCAAUGCAACCAUCAACCAACCAUUCAGCCAACAAACCAGCCAGUCAUUCAAACUUCUAAUCAGCCACCUAUUCAGUCAACCAAUAAACCAGCCAACCUACCAAACAGCCAACCAACUAUGCAACAAACCAACCAACUGACAACAAAUAGUCAAACAAUUUAACUUCUAACCAGCCAACCUACCAAAUAGUCAACCAUCUAACAAAUCAGCCAAACAGCAAAGCAAUCAGCCAAUGGAACAGCCAGAUAACCACUCAACUAACUGUGUUCUCUAGCCAGCCAACCAUCCAAAUAACCAGCCAGCCAACCAUCCAAAUAACCAGUCAUCCAACCAUCCAAAUAACCAGCCAGCCAGUCAGUCAAAUAACCAGCCAGCCAACCAUCCAAAUAACUAGCCAGCCAGUCAGUCAAAUAACCAGCCAGCCAACCAUCCAAAUAACCAGCCAGCCACCAUCCAAAUAAUCAUCUAAGAUUCAGCCAAACAACAAACCAGGCAACCAACUAACCAACCUGCUAACCAGGCAACCAACUAACUAGCCAUCAAAACAACCUACCAACCAAAAUGCCAACCAGCCACUCAAUCAGUCAACCAAGCUAAGAACUAGCCAACCAAGCAGCCAGCCAAUUCUCCAACGAACCACCAGUUAGUCAACUAGCCAAGCAACCAACUGGCCAGUCAGCUGAACAACCAAUCAAGCAACCAACUGAUCAACCAACUAGCCAAUCACCAAACAUCCAUCCAUCCUUUCAUCUACCCACAACAAUUACCCAAAUACCUAUGGAGCAUCCACCAUGGACCCAGGCCUGUGAGGGCUACAACAAAAGUGGAGAAUCACAGCCCCUGGCUUCAAGGAGCAGAAAACUCAGCCAGUAAAGCAGGAUGAGCACAAAUAAAACAGCUGGAGAUCCCUAAAAGGCAGCAAACAGGGAAGGCUGCACCAGUUGCCAGUGCCAGAAGCAGUCUGGGGAGGGAGAGAUCAUCAUGGACAGGAGAAAUAAGGGAGGAUCCCUGGGAGAGCUGGGACUGGAGCUGCCUUCUCUUGCAGUAAGGCCAACCCUAGAAGUUACCAUUUAUUGAGAACUUACUCUAUGCCAGGCAUUCUAAGUGAUUUGCAUACAGCCAAGAAACCAACCUGCCUCACAACAAUCCUGGGACAAAGACAGUGUUAUCACCCUCAGCGUACAGAUGAGGAAACAGAGGCACAAGUAAGUGAAGUCAUUUGUCACAUACCUUUCACGAUGAGCAUGAACUUCAGGGUCUCUGGGUAAUUCUCUUCAAGGAGGCCAAAGAACUGUGGAACCAAGAGAGAUCCCUUCAGAGAGCACAUCACAUCUUCUCCUACCUCCAUCUCCUGUGCAAUCUCCUGUUGGGAGGUUUCAGAUGGCUCUGGAGGGUUUCCCUUCAUGCCAUCACCUCCCCUGGCCUCUGGAGGGAACCUUCUCACCUCAUACUAUUAUAACCAUACUCUAAUAAUAAUUACAUAAUAAUUGUUUUUAGUAAAUAUUAUAAUAAUGGUAGUAUAAUAAUAAUGACUACUGUUGAUUAAAUGUUCACUAUUUGCCAAGCAGUGUAUAUACACUUUACAUAACAACUUGCUGAAGUAUCCCUACAUUGCUAUCCCCAUUUUGUAGGUCAGGAAACAAGCAU
rnacentral:lncRNA from 1 species